UACAUAACAGCAAUUCUGAAAUA
rnacentral:piRNA from 1 species